rnacentral:rRNA from 1 species
ACGCUCGACACCUACGGGAGGAGCAGUGGGGAAUAUUGCACAAUGGGGGAAACCCUGAUGCAGCGACGCCGCGUGAGUGAAGAAGUAUUUCGGUAUGUAAAGCUCUAUCAGCAGGGAAGAAAAUGACGGUACCUGAGUAAGAAGCCCCGGCCUAACUACGUGCCAACAGCCGCGGUAAUCUGAGCGGGCGUGGCAAGGC